GACGAACGCUGGCGGCGUGCCUAAUACAUGCAAGUCGAACGCAGUGGGGACGGGUGAGUAACACGUGGGUAACCUCCCAUCAGAGGGGAUAACACUUGGAUACAGGUGCUAAACCGAUACUGAUGGAUGGACCCGCGGUGCAUUAGCUAGUUGGGGAGGUAACGGCUCACCAAGGCCACGAUGCAUAGCCGACCUGAGAGGGUGAUCGGCCACACUGGGACGGAGACACGGCCCAGACUCCUACGGGAGGCAGCAGUAGGGAAUCUUCGGCAAUGGGCGAAAGUCUGACCGAGCAACGCCGCGUGAGUGAAGAAGGUUUUCGGAUCGUAAAGCUCUGUUGUUAGAGAAGCGGUAUCUAACCAGAAAGCAACGGCUAACUACGUGCCAGCAGCCGCGGUAAUUC
rnacentral:rRNA from 1 species